rnacentral:misc_RNA from 1 species
AGCACGCGCCUCCUGACACUUCCAUCACUGGCGAAUUCCCGGUAGAAUCCAUCACAACACCCUCAUCAGUCAACACCGGGACUUCAAAUUCCUCACAUUCCCGACCACCGGACUCCGUAGACUGAAGGCCAUCGGAUUUUAGAGAAUCCUCCGACGGCGGCAAGUCCGGCGAAUCAGGGGCUAGGAAAUCUCUAGAAAUGUCCAUUUUACGAGGGAAAGGAGAAGCCAAAGCAUGGGUUUCAACCUCCAUAUAUGAAGAAGACGAGGCUAUAGUCUAGAGUCUUGACUGGCUAUGCAAAGAAAGCGACGGUACAGAGAAGAAAAUGACGGGAACCCAAGAUUUCGAAACGAAAAACAGAAAAGAGAUUGAAAAUUAGGAAAAAAAAUAUAUAAACAAGAGAGUGGAGAGCUGUGUUCUGGGUCGGGUUUUGGGAGUUCGAGUUCGACGCAUAUAUA